rnacentral:rRNA from 1 species
AAUCAACGCUGGCGGCGUACUUAACACAUGCAAGUCGGACGGGGAUCGUCGGGUUAGCAAUAAUUCGGCGGUUCUAGUGGCGCACGGGUGAGUAACACGUGGGUAACCUGCCCUUGAGUUCGGGAUACCCCCUCGAAAGGGGGGCUAAUACCGGGUACGUUCCUCGGAUCGACAGGUCUGGGGAGGAAAGGUGGCGCAAGCUGCCGCUCAUGGAGGGGCUCGCGGCCUAUCAGCUAGUUGGCGGGGUAACGGCCCACCAAGGCUAUGACGGGUAGCUGGUCUGAGAGGACGACCAGUCACACGGGGACUGAGACACGGCCCCGACUCCUACGGGAGGCAGCAGUGGGGAAUCUUCCGCAAUGGGCGAAAGCCUGACGCAGCAACGCCGCGUGGGGAUGAAUGCCUUCGGUUGUAA